CCCCCCAAGGUCAAAGGUCAGCGGGGCAGCCCAGGCUCGGAGCAGAAGCCGACCUUGUGUAACUGGAGACAGAAAAACCAGGGUAGGGAUGGGGGCAGGGACACGGAAACCUCUGCCAGGAGGCUUCAAGGAAGGGGUCGGCUGCAGGCUUCCGGCCAGGCAUCCCCAGCCUGGGCACCCCUCUAGCAGGGCAUCUCCAGCACCCGUACAGUACCCGGCAGCCCUAUCCCUGGCGCAGGCUGCCCCAGAGGUCUCCCAGAAGCCCAGCUGGGAGGUCCAACAGCCCCACUGGACUCUGGGACCCUGCCCUGGACUCCCAAACAGCACAGCCACUCGGUGGCUCACCCCAAGGCCAGAGGGCGGUCCCUCAGGCAGGGUUGCUCCUAUGACAUUGCGGCCACGGGCGGGUCUGGGUGCCCCCACCUCCUCCACUGCCUGCACUGUCUUGGCCCAGGACACCGCUGCCUUGGUCCCUGAAUUACCAGCCAUUUCUCCUCGCAAGGGCGGCCUGGGCUUAGCCACCCUUUGCUGGUGGACUCUACGUGAGGGAAAUGACUGUGACCCUGGAGAUGCCCCCAUCCCUCGCUCUGGAGUGGCAGCCGCUGCAUCCUGAGGACACCCAGGCAGUGCCACGGAAAUGCAUAUGGCGUGAAGGGAGGGAUCUGCCAUGUGCCCUGCUCAGCACAGAACCCAGCCCCAAGGAGGAAGCACCUCUCCUGCCGCACUCACCUUCUCCGACCCAUGCAAGAAGUCAUUGAGGGCCUGAGGGUCACUGGAAGAGAAGAGAGAGGGGCACUGAGGCGUAGAAGACACGUCGCCGUUAAUCCCCCUCGCCUGGAACACAUGGAUCCAUCGUUCUUGCCACAGUCGUGAAGCAGCUCUGCGGGCCUCUUUCAUGUCUUUACCACGUGUGGUCCCAACUGGGGUGAAUGCUGCCACCGAGUGCCACCCGGCGGAAAGGCAGGCGCAUGACAACACGACGCUGUGUCAUCUACCUCAUGCUCUCAAGCUGCCACCAGGUGACUUCCGGCUCGUCCCCAAACUCAAAAUGACAUGAAAGGGAAACGUUCUGAAUUGGUUCAGGACAGUGAGGCUGCCGUGGCAAGUGCAACCCACGACACUCAGGAAAGAAGACUCCAGAACGGCUGCAGAAAGCGACACGAAUGGUGGGACAAAUGUGGUCGAAGCAGGGGAUUAAAAUGGUGCCUAAAACAAGAA